rnacentral:rRNA from 1 species
AUUGAACGCUGGCGGCAGGCCUAACACAUGCAAGUCGAGCGAGUGGCGGACGGGUGAGUAAUGUAUGGGGAUCUGCCCGAUAGAGGGGGAUAACUCCUGGAAACGUUGGCUAAUACCGCAUACUUCCGGUUGACCCCCAAUGGGAUUAGCUAGUAGGUGGGGUAAAGGCUCACCUAGGCGACGAUCUCUAGCUGGUCUGAGAGGAUGAGCAGCCACACUGGGACUGAGACACGGCCCAGACUCCUACGGGAGGCAGCAGUGGGGAAUAUUGCACAAUGGGCGCAAGCCUGAUGCAGCCAUGCCGCGUGUAUGAAGAAGGCCUUAGGGUUGUAAAGUACUUUCAGCGGGGAGGCGUUACCCGCAGAAGAAGCACCGGCUAACUCCGUGCCAGCAGCCGCGGUAAUAC